CGACUCUCGGCAACGGAUAUCUCGGCUCACGCAUCGAUGAAGAACGUAGCAAAAUGCGAUACUUGGUGUGAAUUGCAGAAUCCCGUGAACCAUCGAGUUUUUGAACGCAAGUUGCGCCCGAAGCCUUCUGGCUGAGGGCACGUCUGCCUGGGCGUCACGCAUCA
rnacentral:rRNA from 1 species